GGAGCGGCUCGGGCGAUCGCGCCGCCCACCGUCGGUUAACGCGGUGGGUGAGUGAGGAAAGUCCGAGCUCCAAAGGACAGGUUGCUGGGUAACUCCCAGGGAGGGCGACCUCACAGAAAGUGCAACAGAAAGGAUACCGCCCGCGCCGUUCGGCGGGUAAGGGUGAAAUGGUGAGGUAAGAGCUCACCGCGUUUCCGGCGACGGAAACGGCAUGGCAAACCUCUUCCGGAGCAAGGCCGAAUAGGGGAGAAGAGGUGGUCCGCCUCGUUCGACUCCCGGGUAGGCCGCAAGGAGGUUGCGGGUAACCGCCGCCCAAGAUGAAUGAUCGCCCCGCGUCGAAAGGCGCGGACAGAACUCGGCUUACAGAGCCGCUCCGCCC
rnacentral:RNase_P_RNA from 1 species